GCACGGCCGGGACUAUUGCUGCUGGUAGCGCUGCUGUUGUUGCUCCUGGUGCUACUGCUGCUGCUUGUGCCGCUGCUGUUGCUUCGCCCUUCCGUCUUCCCCGAGGAGUUGCAGAUCUAACUGCAGAGUGAAAAUCGCUGGAUGCCACUGUACCAGGGACAAAAAGAUGACUUCAGGCAGUGUGACAGAGAGCAGACUCCCUGUGUUAGCACCUCAACCACUCACAGCUGUCACCGUAAAGGCACAGUGAUGAAUUCGUGUGAAAUAUGCAGGAGUCGGAACAAGAUGAAAGUAGAGGAGCCUAAACUGCAGAGUCAAGAUGCUCAGUGCCAGCAGUGGUGGAUCAGAAGCCUCGUGAUAAUGGUGAAUGUAAAAUGCAAGACUUGUGGAGAAGGUUGCUGGGGAAAAAAUGCCACGCUUGUGAGCCAGAAGCACUCUGAAGUCAUCGUGUAAAUAUGUGCCUGAUCGUGUACGU
rnacentral:lncRNA from 1 species